rnacentral:rRNA from 1 species
AUACGGAGGGUGCAAGCGUUGUCCGGAUUUAUUGGGUUUAAAGGGUGUGUAGGCGGUGUAUUAAGUCAGUGGUGAAAGCCUGCGGCUCAACCGGAGAACUGCCAUUGAUACUGACACACUUGAGUAUGGACGAGGUAGGCGGAAUUUAUGGUGUAGCGGUGAAAUGCAUAGAUACCAUAAAGAACACCGAUAGCGAAGGCAGCUUACUAGGCCAUAACUGACGCUGAGGCACGAAAGCGUGGGGAGCGAACAGGAUUAGAAACCCCAGUAGUCC